rnacentral:rRNA from 1 species
UACGUAGGGGGGCAAGCGUUGUCCGGAUUUAUUGGGCGUAAAGAGCGUGUAGGCGGCCAGACAGGUCCGUUGUGAAAACUCGAGGCUCAACCCCGAGAUGUCGAUGGAAACCGUCUGGCUAGAGUCCGGAAGAGGAGUGUGGAAUUCCUGGUGUAGCGGUGAAAUGCGCAGAUAUCAGGAAGAACACCUAUGGCGAAGGCAGCACUCUGGGACGGUACUGACGCUGAGACGCGAAAGCGUGGGGAGCGAACAGG